GCUUAGCUGUAAACAUUGAGUGAUUUUUUACCUUAUCAUUCCGCCUGGGUACUACGAGCACUAGCUUAAAACCCAAAGGACUUGGCGGUGCUUUAUACCCACCUAAAGGAGCCUGUUCUAGAACCGAUACCCCACGUUUAACCUCACCCUCUCUGGUUCUUCCCGCCUAUAUACCGCCGUCGUCAGCUUACCCUGUGAAGGUAAAGAAGUUAGCAUAAUCAGUUCUACUAAAAACGUCAGGUCGAGGUGUAGCAUAUGAGAGGGGAAGAAAUGGGCUACAUUCCUUAUACUAAGGCAACACGGACAAUAUUAUGAAAUAAAUAUUAGAAGGAGGAUUUAGCAGUAAGCAGCAAAUAGAGAGUCCUGCUGAAACUGGCCCUAAAGCGCGC
rnacentral:rRNA from 1 species